AGCUGCAGCUGUCUUGAGUCGUGAUGCCCUGGCAAAGACCAUUUACUCCAGACUAUUUGAUUGGUAAGAGAAUUACACCCUCACCUUCUUCAAACCACCAGUGUCAAUUCCUCCGGAUGUUAAUACUCCAUGAACUUCUGUUUCAUAUAAACCACAGAAGCACAAAAGCAGCAGCAUUGAGAUUAUUAAAAUUCACGUCAAUUAGCAGGCUGAGGAAGAAUGAAAAUGAAUGCACUAUGCUUUAUUUAUCACUUCAAAAAUAGAAAUCAAAAUGGAUAUAAUUAAUACAGAAGCAUAUCAUAGUACAAGACUACAGGUGAAAUACAUCAAAUUGUUACCUUUGUGUUUUAUCAUAAGUUUCAGACUACAAACGCAUUUCUCACAAGGACUGUGACUUCACUAAAACCUGUUUACAGUAACAAAUUAGAUUUUGAUUUCCAUAUAUCUAUGUAAUGCACAAUAAAAAUAUUUAAACUACAUGAAAUUUAUCCAAUACAUCGAUAAGCUCUCAGUCUAAUUUUAGUCAAGUAUCAACCCUACGUUCCUACCUAAAUAAAGAAUUAACAACCAACAGUCUACCUACUGAAUUGGGGGAAGAAAUUGAUGAAGCCAAAUCAAGUUCCUUAUGCUAAGUCAAACGUUUGAACCGAGUCAUUAUUGCUUCAGUAACAGAUGUCAGUCAAGCACAUCAGUAGUCACAGUAAUAUAGCUGUGCUACUUAAACUCCUAAAGCCAUGACAAUAUUGGUUUUUACCCAUCUUUGAACCAAAAUUUGAUUCAAUCAACCAGCAUAUAGUAAGUCAAAAAAUGAUGAUUUGGUGCUCUUUCCAUGAACUAUGUCAGGCUCGUGGACAAAAUAAACAAUUCGAUUGGUCAGGAUCCCAAUGCAAAAAGCAUAAUUGGAGUCCUUGAUAUUUAUGGAUUCGAAAGCUUCAAAAUCAACAGGUACAGUAUACCUACACAAUUUUUAUGACUUCUCAACAUAUAAUAACUUUUACAGAUCACAAGACCUUAUUAUGUGUGCUUAUUGUGGUAGUUUUGAGCAGUUAUGCAUCAACCUGACAAAUGAGAAGUUGCAACAGCAUUUUAAUCAGGUAAUGAAGAACUUUGUAUAUUUUCGGUAAAAUCUUUAUCUCUGCAAUAUAUGAAUCUUCUAGUUUCUUUAUCGGAUAGCAUAUAUAGGUAGGAUACUUACUGUACUAUAUACAUUUAAAUUGGAAAAGCAUUUUUACAGCAUGUCUUCAAAAUGGAGCAAGAAGAGUACACAAAGGAGGAAAUCAACUGGAGUUAUGUAGAAUUUGUCGACAACCAGGAUGUUUUAGAUCUUAUAGAGAAGGUAUAGAUUCUUAGGAAGUCCAUUCAAUUUAUAUACACCUUCCACAUUCAUUGACAUGAUAAAAUUUUGAGCAUAACUUUUGUAUCUUUGCAUGUAGAAACCUGGGGGUAUAAUUGCUCUUCUCGAUGAAGCCUGGUACGUAACUUGAAAUAUCAUAAGCAUCUUAUGUGUUAAAAGACAGAAACAAGGAAUUAGUUGAGCACUUAAUAAUUAGGCGAGUGCCUAGAUGGAAUUGAUCUUUGUACAGCUGGGUGGUACCUGCAUGAUGCAGGCAAUGACCAUCUAGAUCACAAAGAAGCACUGUAUCACCCUAUACACUCAAAAGAAAGAACCCAGAAAACAAAUAUAACUGGUUCAGAUAUUUGCAGUUACAUAGCUUAAUGCACUCUUCUACAGUAUGUUCCCUAAGGCAACCCAUGAGACAUUCGCACAAAAGAUGUAUCAGACAUAUAAAGGACACAAACGCUUUAGCAAGCCAAAACUUGCUCGCACAGAAUUUACAAUCAACCAUUAUGCCGGAGAUGUAAGCAGAAUAAUUUGUAUAUCUUUAUCAUCAAAAGAUAUGUCCAAUACUUUUUUCUCACUGAAAAGCUUUGAUCAAACAGGUUACCUACCUAGCUGAUCAGUUCCUUGACAAAAAUAAGGAUUAUGUAAUAGCAGAACAUCAAGCUCUAUUAGAUGCCUCAAGGUGCAAUUUUGUUGCAAAUCUGUUCCCUCCAUUACCUGAGGAAUCAUCUAAACAGUCCAAAUUCUCUUCUAUUGGCACCCGCUUCAAGGUAAGCAAGUUUUUUCAAAUAGAGAAACAUUCUAUACAAGUAUCCUAAAAAAGUUGAUUUCUACCCACCAUUGUACUUCAAAUCCAGCAACAAUUACAAGCUUUAAUGGAAACCCUCAGCACAACAGAGCCACAUUACAUCAGAUGUGUGAAGCCUAAUUCAGUUUUGAAGCCAGGAAUAUUUGAGAACUUCAACGUUCUAAAUCAAUUAAGAUGUGGGGUAUGUUAUAUUUUUCUACUUCAGUGAGAGCAUUAUUCAGGUUAACAACAAUUCUUUUCCACUGACAUAGAACUGACGGUUUGUGGCAGGGUGUAUUAGAGGCAAUAAGAAUCAGCUGCGCAGGAUAUCCUACAAAGCGAUCAUUUGAUGAAUUCCUUGACCGAUUCGGAAUGUUAUCUCCUGAUGUUUUGGAUGGGUAUAUAAUAGUGUACUCUACCUCUCCUCUUUCAUUUUACCCUUUUAAGAUGGGAUAGAAGUUAGACCUGAAAGGAUAGGCUUAGUUAUGAGUGCUUCCCUACUGAGUUACAUGCUUAACACUAUUAGAAGUACAUCUGAAGCUAAAAAUAAUCAGAAUUGAUUUUGAGCUUUCUCAACUACAAAAGUAUUGUCCAUUAUUCAAGUAGACUUGUAAUUACAAGGUGCUUAGUCACUUUCUUCCAUGCAGAUCGGAUGAGAAAUCCGCAUGUGUUGCAAUUUGUGACAGGAUGGGUGUAAAGGGCUAUCAGGUACAAAACUAUAACUAUAGUAAACUCAGCAUCCACACUAUAAAAUCCAACGUGAACUUCCAUAAAGUAAGAGUGAGGUUUUCUGAUAACUAAUUUAUACUUCAGAUUGGGAAAACAAAGGUGUUUCUUAGAGCUGGGCAAAUGGCUGAAUUAGACGCUCGAAGAGCUGAAAUUCUGGCUUAUGCUGCAAGGCGCAUCCAAAGGCAAAUCCGAACACAUCUCACUCGGAAAGAGUUUAUUACCCUACGAAGGGCUACAAUUCAAAUGCAAAAGCAUUGGAGAGGUAACUUUCUUUUCCUUGACGAAAGUAUAUAUGCUGAACUAUUUGUCAAGGAUGUGAGACAUCUCUUCCCUAUAAACCAGAAACAAGUAAAGAGCAUUUAAAGAUUCUAUUUUCUUGUCCUCCCCGCCUUCUGUAUCUUCUAUCUCUUCUAGUAAAAUCUACUUUCUCUAUCCCCAAAAGAAAAACUUUCCAAAAUUCCUAUAAAUAUUAAGUUUUCAGUAUGCAUGAUGUUAAUUUGAUUCAAUCACAUUGCAAAAUAUGUUGUCCUUUGACCCCACUUCCGAAACAUAUUCAUUGAUGUCCUUGUAAACACAUUAGUUACCAGAUCCAUAUGCAAUUAUGGGAAAUAACUUAAAUUAUAAAUUUUCUAUACCUGCUUUAUUAAAGCUCAAAUUGCACGUAAGCUGUAUGAACAUAUGAGGAAGGAUGCCGCUUCAAUCCGUAUACAGAAACAUGCACGAGC
rnacentral:lncRNA from 1 species